AAGGAAUAUUGGACAAUGGGCGAAAGCCUGAUCCAGCCAUGCCGCGUGAAGGACGAAGGCGCUCAGCGUUGUAAACUUCUUUUGGAUGGGAACAAUAACUCCGACUUGUCGGAGCUUGAGGGUACCAUCAGAAUAAGCACCGGCUAACUCCGUGCCAGCAGCCGCGGUAAUACGGAGGGUGCAAGCGUUAUCCGGAAUCACUGGGUUUAAAGGGUGCGUAGGCGGCCCAAUAAGUUAGUCGUGAAAUCGCUGGGCUUAACCCAUGCAAUUGCGAUUGAUACUGUUGGACUUGAAUUAGGUUGAGGCUGGCGGAAUGCGACAUGUAGCGGUGAAAUGCUUAGAUAUGUCGCAGAACACCGAUUGCGAAGGCAGCCAGCUGGGCCUUGAUUGACGCUGAGGCACGAAAGCGUGGGGAGCAAAC
rnacentral:rRNA from 1 species